CUAAACAUGACUGCUGACGGGACAAAAUAAGAAAGGGAGAUGUUGAGGAGAAAGGUACCAAUGAUUGGCUUAAAGACGCCAUUUCGGGAUGGCUUGUUAAGACAUGUUGCUGAAGAUGUUCUAAAGCUGGCUAAGGAUGGCUUGGAAAGAAAAAGUUACAAAGAAUCUGGAUUUCUGAGAGAAGUGGCUGAGGUGGUUAAUUCAGG